rnacentral:misc_RNA from 1 species
AAGAGACGUUGCCCUUCGGGGUAUACCUCCCACCCUUUGUUUAUUAUACCUUUGUUGCUUUGGCGGGCCCGUCCUCGGACCACCGGCUUCUGCUGGUCAGUGCCCGCCAGAGGAUCUAAAACUCUGUUUGUUAAUAUUGUCUGAGUACUAUAUAAUAGUUA